CACAAGCGGUGGAGCAUGUGGUUUUAAUUCGAUGAUACGCGAGGAACCUUACCUGGGCUCAAAUGUAUGUUGACGUAUUCUGAAAGGGAUACUUCUUCGGACAAUAUACAAGGUGCUGCAUGGUUGUCGUCAGCUCGUGCCGUGAGGUGUCGGGUUAAGUCCCAUAACGAGCGCAACCCCUACCUUUAGUUGCCAUCAGGUUAAGCUGGGGACUCUAAAGGAACUGCCUACGCAAGUAGUGAGGAAGGCGGGGAUGACGUCAAAUCAGCACGGCCCUUACGUCCAGGGCUACACACGUGCUACAAUGGCCGAUACAGAGGGCAGCUACCUGGUGACAGGAUGCAAAUCUCCAAAGUCGGUCUCAGUUCGGAUCGGAGUCUGCAACCCGACUCCGUGAAGUUGGAUUCGCUAGUAAUCGCGCAUCAGCCAUGGCGCGGUGAAUACGUUCCCGGGCCUU
rnacentral:rRNA from 1 species